AGUUCGAUCCUGGCUCAAGAUGAACGCUGGCGGCAUGCCUAAUACAUGCCAGUCAAACCAAGUUUCUAGGAAUCUUGCUUCCCAAGAGACUUACUGGCGAACGGGUGAGUAACACAUUUGUAACCAUGCCCAUGUGUCCGGGAUAACUGCUGGAAACGGUAACUAAAACCGGAUAGGUAUGCAGAGCGCAUGCUCAGUAUAUUCAAGCGCCCAUCAAGUCGUGAACAUGGAUGUACGUGCGGCGCAUUAGCUAGUUGGUGAGGUAACGGCUCACCCAGGCGAUGAUCCGUAGCCGGCGUGAGUGGGUAACCGGCCACAUAGGGAGUGAGACACCACCCAAACUCAUACGGGAGCCAGCAUUAGGGAAUUUUCGUCAAUGGGGGAUACCCUGCACGAGCAAUGCCCCGUGAGUGAAGAAGGUGUUCGAAUGGUAAAGUUUUGUUGUAAGUGAAGAUCGGUUCAUAGAGGAAAUACUGUGGGAGCGACGGUAGGUUGCCCGAAAGCCAUGGCUACCUACGUCCCAGCAGCCGCGGUAAUAGCUAGGUGGCUAGCGUUAUCCGGAAUCAUUGGGGGUAAAGGGUGGGUAGGCGGCUUAGUAAGUAAGUAGUAAAAGUCAAUGGCUCAACCAUUGUAAGCUAUGGAAACUGGUAUGCUGGAGUGCAGAAGAGGGCGAUGGAAUUCCAUGUGUAGCGGUAAAAUGCGUAGAUAUAUGGAGGAACACCAGUGGCGAAGGCGGUCGCCUGGUCUGUAACUGACACUGAGGCACGAAAGCGUGGGGAGCAAAUAGGAUUAGAUACCCUAGUAGUCCACGCCGUAAACGAUGAGAACUAAGUGUUGGAGGAAUUCAGUGCUGCAGUUAACGCAAUAAGUUCUCCGCCUGGGGAGUAUGCACGCAAGUGUGAAACUCAAAGGAAUUGACGGGGGCCCGCACAAGCGGUGGAGUAUGUGGUUUAAUUCGAAGCAACGCGAAGAACCUUACCAGGCCUUGACAUGGAAACAAAUACCCUAGAGAUAGGGGGAUAAUUAUGGAUCACACAGGUGGUGCAUGGUUGUCGUCAGCUCGUGUCGUGAGAUGUUGGGUUAAGUCCCGCAACGAGCGCAACCCUUGUCGCAUGUUACCAGCAUCAAGUCGGGGACUCAUGCGAGACUGCCGGUGACAAACCGGAGGAAGGUGGGGAUGACGUCAAAUCAUCAUGCCCCUCAUGGCCUGGGCUACACACGUACUACAAUGGCGGCCACAAAGAGCAGCGACACAGUGAUGUGAAGCAGAAUCUCAUAAAGGUCGUCUCAGUUCGGAUUGAAGUGUGCAACUCGACUUCAUGAAGUCGGAAUCGCUAGUAAUCGCAGAUCAGCAUGAAGCGGUGAACCAGUUCCCGGCUCUUGCACACACCGCCCGUCA
rnacentral:rRNA from 1 species